rnacentral:rRNA from 1 species
UACGUAGGGUGCAAGCGCUGUCCGGAAUUAUUGGGCGUAAAGAGCUCGUAGGCGGUUUGUCGCGUCGAAUGUGAAAACCCGGGGCUCAACCCCGGGCCUGCAUUCGAUACGGGCAGACUAGAGUUCGGUAGGGGAGUCUGGAAUUCCUGGUGUAGCGGUGAAAUGCGCAGAUAUCAGGAGGAACACCGGUGGCGAAGGCGGCCUGCUGGGCAGUUGCUGACACUGAGGCGCGACAGCGUGGGGAGCAAACAGG